rnacentral:rRNA from 1 species
GCUACCGUCAUUUUCUUGACUCAUAAAAGGAGUUUACACACCGAAAUGCGUCAUCCUCCACGCGGCGUUGCUGCAUCAGGGUUUCCCCCAUUGUGCAAUAUUCCUC